ensembl:lncRNA
AUAAUGGCAUGCCUAGGCCUAAAAGAUUAUUUUGACAAAAUAGUGUAAAAUUUUGGGGUUAUGAACGCGAUGAGAAAUUCAACCCCAUUGUGAUGGACAUCGUCCAACGGUUUUAGUCCAACGUUUAGACACUGUCGCAAGGGGAAUGCCACAGUGCCUACCUUGAGUAGCUUCUGUCGUUACCGAAAUUGUUUUAUUCGAGAAAGACUUGGUGGUAUUCCACCCUAGAAACUGACAUUCCCCAUUCAAUUCACUGUCUGUGGAGGCAGUGACAAAAAGAGAUGAUGCUCUGGCCAGAGGUGGGUGUGAGAGUGUGUGAAAGUGUGUGAGUGAUGGUGCACCAAGGCAGACAAACUGCCAUGAACAGCUGUUUCAAAAUUUUCUAAGUGGGCACACAAGGUAGAUUAUGCCCCAGAAAAUAAUGGCUAUGGAUUAAUUUGGCUAAUUAUCCUGGCUUGGGAUAUUUAGUGGCAGGAAAAGAAAAAGUGCCACACCUGCGCAGGGUAAAACAUGGGAAGGCAGAGCAAGAAGGCUUGCUCUGUCCACCCCACACUUAACUUUUAUUUUUCCCUUUCAGGAUGUCAUGACGGACUUCAUCAAACUGAUUCUGUGUCAUAUGUAUGAAAUACAUUGUGCUUGUUAACAUGUUACAUGUGGGCUGAGUGUUUCACAGAAAAAACUGAUAUUAAUAAGUUAAAAGCCUGAAUAAAAAAGGUCAUGUUUCAGAAAUUAUUUGAUGAUAGUGAGAUACUUUGAAACAACACAGAAAUAAUUGAGUUGAGUUGAACUGAACUUUAGUGUAUACCACUUAGACGUGGUAUACAGGGGGAAGAGGAAAAAAAAAUCAGAUGGAAUAAAUAAAUAAAUAAAUGAUAUUGAUUGAAAUUGGAAUGAUAUGGGUUCUAGUCCUCUCACUCUACUGGUGUUAUUGGGAAAAUAGACAGCCCUCAGUCCACACGAUUUUUUCCUCACAGGUCACUACAUAAAGGAUCGACUGGGUGAUGAGUAAACGGGUUGUUUCUAACAAAAACAUUUUAAGAUCUCCUAUCACAGGAGGAACAUCCUGAGUUCACACCAGGUGUGCCUCUAACCCAGGCAGGGGCAGAA